rnacentral:lncRNA from 1 species
AUAGCUUCUCUUUUGGCGGGUGGAUCCGCAAACCCGCAACUCUCUACGGGCUUAUCCGCAUGAACCUGCAACCCGUAGUGGAUAAAAAUAUUAUUCAAAAAAAAUAACAAAUGAUGUUUAAUUUUACGGGACGGGGUUAUAUGGUGCAACGGGUUUAGAUCAAUAUUAAUAUUAAACAAUAUACUAUGGAUGAAAUCCUAGAAUUAAAAAUCAAAAUUUAAUUAUAAAAUCAGAAACACUAAACAAAAUAAACAAUAUUAACAAAACAAAUACAACUUAAAAUUUUGCAAAAUAAUUUUUUAGUUAUAAAAAAAUUGACCCGCGGUGUACCGCGGGGUAAAAUCUAGAUUUGGAAGUUUAAGGAGAAAUUUUUUAAAAAAAAAAUAAUAUCUCCGCGGUGUACCGCAAGAAAAAUCUUUCUCCUAAACUGAGGCAAAAAGAAGAAGAAAGCCAAAUGUCGUUUAAGUGUAUAUAUAGAUAUACCAUUUAAACCUAAAACACAA